rnacentral:rRNA from 1 species
CCCGCACAAGCGGUGGAGCAUGUGGUUUAAUUCGAAGCAACGCGAAGAACCUUACCAGGUCUUGACAUCCCUGACAACCCAAGAGAUUGGGCGUUCCCCUUCGGGGGACAGGGUGACAGGUGGUGCAUGGUUGUCGUCAGCUCGUGUCGUGAGAUGUUGGGUUAAGUCCCGCAACGAGCGCAACCCUCGACCUUAGUUGCCAGCAUUCAGUUGGGCACUCUAAGGUGACUGCCGGCUAAAAGUCGGAGGAAGGUGGGGAUGACGUCAAAUCAUCAUGCCCCUUAUGACCUGGGCUACACACGUGCUACAAUGGGGUCGACAGUGGGAUGCAAAGCCGCGAGGUGGAGCCAAUCCCCAAACGGCCUCUCAGUUCGGAUAGUAGUCUGCAACUCGACUACUUGAAGUCGGAAUCGCUAGUAAUGGCGGAUCAGCAUGCCGCCGUGAAUACGUUCCCGGGCCUU